AGAGCGAACGCUGGCGGCAGGCUUAACACAUGCAAGUCGAGCGGGCGUAGCAAUACGUCAGCGGCAGACGGGUGAGUAACGCGUGGGAACAUACCUCUUGGUUCGGAACAACACAGGGAAACUUGUGCUAAUACCGGAUAAGCCCUUACGGGGAAAGAUUUAUCGCCGAGAGAUUGGCCCGCGUCUGAUUAGCUAGUUGGUAGGGUAAUGGCCUACCAAGGCGACGAUCAGUAGCUGGUCUGAGAGGAUGAUCAGCCACAUUGGGACUGAGACACGGCCCAAACUCCUACGGGAGGCAGCAGUGGGAAUAUUGGACAAUGGGGGCAACCCUGAUCCAGCCAUGCCGCGUGAGUGAUGAAGGCCCUAGGGUUGUAAAGCUCUUUUGUGCGGGAAGAUAAUGACGGUACCGCAAGAAUAAGCCCGGCUAACUUCGCGCCAGCAGCCGC
rnacentral:rRNA from 1 species